GAGAGAGGCUCGCCAGCAACGAAGACUGCUAAUCUCCGCGACCCUGGUUGGACACCAGGGCUCACUCG
rnacentral:tRNA from 2 species